CAGCAUACUCUAGAGACAUAGUGAGUGACAACACCACAGGGAAUUGGCCUCUCAGUUCUGAGACUGUCUCCAGCCAGUCUGCCAAUAAGUCUUCUCAUAAGCACCCCCUCAGCUGGAUCUAAAGCCUUCCCGGCAUUGUGAGUCAGCCCGAGAGGGACAGGAAAACUGCUGUAUGGGCCCUUUUCGUGUUUUUGAUUUAAGAAGAUUGCAAUGAAAUACAACUGCAAGGUUCCACGACCAACCAUACUGCUAUUACUAAGCCUCCAUAUGAAAUCCUCUUAAGGCUCCAGUUUUUGACAUUUCAGAAAUAAAAUCAAUAUGAACUUAAUGAUGACUUGUAUAUUGAGGCUAAGUGAGUGGAUGGAGGCUUCAGACAGCCUUUUUAUGAAAGAACCCAGAUGACUCGGAGGAGUGAGAGAAGAGAGAAGGGGAAGGAGAGCUAAGGUGUAUUCAGUCCCCGGGUCUCUGGGGCCAGCCUCUCUGACUGUGCUCCCUGUCCUAGCAGGCUAGCAGGCUGCCAGUGUGACC
rnacentral:lncRNA from 1 species